CAGCCGCCGCGGUAAUACGUAGGGUGCAAGCGUUAAUCGGAAUUACUGGGCGUAAAGCGUGCGUAGGCGGUUUGUUAAGUCUGUUGUGAAAUCCCCGGGCUCAACCUGGGAAUGGCAAUGGAUACUGGCAAGCUAGAGUGUGUCAGAGGAUGGUGGAAUUCCCGGUGUAGCGGUGAAAUGCGUAGAGAUCGGGAGGAACAUCAGUGGCGAAGGCGGCCAUCUGGGACAACACUGACGCUGAGGCACGAAAGCGUGGGGAGCAAACAGGAUUAGAUACCCCUGUAGUCCCUGUCUCUUAUAC
rnacentral:rRNA from 1 species